GACGAAGGUGGCGAGCGUUGUUCGGAAUCACUGGGCAUAAAGCGCACGUAGGCGGCGACGUAAGUUGGGUGUGAAAUCCCCCGGCCCAACCGGGGAACUGCGCCCAGUACUGCGUUGCUUGAGGAUCCAAGGGGUGCAUGGAAUUCCACGUGUAGCAGUGAAAUGCGUAGAUAUGUGGAGGAACACCGAUGGCGAAGGCAGCCCCCUGGGUUAACACUGACGCUCAUGCACGAGAGCGUGGGGAGCAAACAGG
rnacentral:rRNA from 1 species